AAGCCAGACUCCUACGGGAGGCAGCAGUGGGGAAUAUUGCACAAUGGGGGAAACCCUGAUGCAGCGACGCCGCGUGAGUGAAGAAGUAUUUCGGUACGUAAAGCUCUGUCAGCAGGGAAGAAAAUGACGGUACCUGACCAAGAAGCCCCGGCUAACUACGUGCCAGCAGCCGCGGUAAUACGUAGGGGGCAAGCGUUAUCCGGAUUUACUGGGUGUAAAGGGAGCGUAGACGGCAGUGCAAGUCUGAAGUGAAAGCCCCGGGCUUAACCCGGGAAUUGCUUUGGAAACUGUACGGCUGGAGUGCUGGAGAGGUAAGCGGAAUUCCUAGUGUAGCGGUGAAAUGCGUAGAUAUUAGGAGGAACACCAGUGGCGAAGGCGGCUUACUGGACAGUAACUGACGUUGAGGCUCGAAAGCGUGGGGAGCAAACAGGAUUAGAUACCCCGGUA
rnacentral:rRNA from 1 species